rnacentral:rRNA from 1 species
AAAACAACAGGGAUUCCCUAGUAACGGCGAGUGAAGCGGGAAGAGCUCAAAUUUGAAAUCGUGUCAGGGAGACCUGGUCGCGAGUUGUAGUUUGAUGGGGUAUGCUUGGUGGGCGCCUAGGUCUAAGUCCCUUGGAAAAGGGUAUCAUAGAGGGUGACAAUCCCGUCUGUGGCCUAGUCAGCGGUCCACCGUGUAAGCUACCUUCAAAGAGUCGGGUUGUUUGGGAAUGCAGCCCUAAGCUGGUGGUAAAUUCCAUCUAAAGCUAAAUAUCCGUGAGAGACCGAUAGCGAACAAGUACCGUGAGGGAAAGUUGAAAAGCACUCUGGAGAGAGAGUCAAACAGCACGUGAAAUUGUUAACAGGGAAACGUUGGGCACCAGUACGCGCCUCGCGUGAAAUCAACCAUCCUUUCCCCGAGGGUUUGCCCCGGUGGAGUGAGCCUUAACCAGCCGCUUGCCGGGGCGUGCCCGAGGGGGGUGGUGCACUUUUGCGUGGGCGGGUCAACAUCGGUUAGGACCGUCGUAAACGGCCCUGGGGAAGGUAGGUUCCGCCCUUGUGGUGGAUCAACUUAUAGCCCCGGGGAUUGCCUACGGUGAUCUUGACCGUGGAUUCGCGAUCCGUGCUCCCCUCGGGGGGCAGGUCCCUUUGGCCCUCGUUGGUCCCCUUGGCCUAGGCAGCUUGCUGACUAGGUCGGGUGUGGAUUGCGAUGUCAGGCCGGAGUAGGGCUCUAACGGGUCACGGACGUUGGCGAAAUGGUUCUCAACGACCCGUCUUGAAACACGGACCAAGGAGUCUAACAUGUGUGCGAGUAUUUGGGUGCUAAACCCGGAUGCGCAAUGAAAGUGACCACAGGGGGGAAGGGUAGGCUCUUUACGGGGCCUGCCCCGCACCCUCGACCGAUCUGAUUGCCCUCGUGGCGAC